UGGGGAAUAUUGCACAAUGGGCGCAAGCCUGAUGCAGCCAUGCCGCGUGUGUGAAGAAGGCCUUCGGGUUGUAAAGCACUUUCAGCGAGGAGGAAGGUGGUGAGCUUAAUACGCUCAUCAAUUGACGUUACUCGCAGAAGAAGCACCGGCUAACUCCGUGCCAGCAGCCGCGGUAAUACGGAGGGUGCAAGCGUUAAUCGGAAUUACUGGGCGUAAAGCGCACGCAGGCGGUUUGUUAAGUCAGAUGUGAAAUCCCCGGGCUCAACCUGGGAACUGCAUUUGAAACUGGCAAGCUAGAGUCUCGUAGAGGGGGGUAGAAUUCCAGGUGUAGCGGUGAAAUGCGUAGAGAUCUGGAGGAAUACCGGUGGCGAAGGCGGCCCCCUGGANGAAGACUGACGCUCAGGUGCGAAAGCGUGGGGCAGCAAACAGGAUUAGAUACCCUGGUAGUCCAGCGCUGUAAACGAUGUCGACUUUGGAGGUUGUGCCCUUGAGGCGUGGCUUCCGGAGCUAACG
rnacentral:rRNA from 1 species